CCUCCCUCCGCGGGGCAGCGGGCGCCGUGUCCCAGCUCGCAGCGCUGCGCGCUGGGGCAGAACGGGGCACCGUCCGUCUGCAAGCGGUAAGUAAUCAGGUUGGUAAAGCACUUUGGCUAAGAAUGCUGAAAACAACAGCUGGGCACUUUCCUCUGGUUCUACCUACAGCACAGUGUUGCCAACUUACUGGAAUUCUUGUCGUGGUUUCACAGCAAGGCUCAGGCUGACCAAACGGAACCAGCUGCGUUUGUGUAUGGGGCCGCCGCCGCUUUAAUCCCCCGAACAACGCCGAUGGGGAGGGACGGAAGGGAUCCUCGAAGGGGCACGGGCAGAUCCGCUCAAUACAGAUGGGUACCUGAAAAGCCAAUACACCAACACUGUUUUUAAUUAGAAGGGGAAUGAUUUAAAGCUGCUCACACCCCAGCAAUGCGCAGACAGAGCCUGAGAGCUGCAACCCUAGACUGUGAGCUGUGUGCACCCUUGGUCACUGCUUCCUGGCUGGCCUGGAUGCAAGGUUUGGGAAGCACCUGUUUCACACAGCUGGCACACUGAAAGCACACUCCUGCCUCCCUUGCCUUUACCAUUUCCCAGAGGGCUGAGGGAAAUAACUAUUCUCAAACAGGAAUGAAUGGAGACAACACAAACAGUGAGGGCAAGCCCUAUUUUGAGCUACUGGGUCUGCCUUCCUCACCAUUAUUCCUAGCACUCAAACAGAAAUUACCCAGUUACUUUGCUGAAAAAGAAUGAGUCACUAAGGAGCCAGUGCAAGAUCAUGCUGUUUUCAGUUUACUUAAAAAAAAAAAAAAAAAAAACAUUUUCUCCUCUCACUUAACCUAAUCACUCAAAGGGACACUAUUCUGCUGGACACCAUCAAGCAGCACUUCAGCAGAGCUGAGCUACAAGAUGAAACACACCCAGGCUUUCCUGUAACUACAUCCAAAACUGUACCAAUACAGUGCAGCUCUCCCUCUUAGCUUCCUGUUGACUGUCAGUUGAACACUUUCUGACUGAGCUAGAUCUAGGGUUUCUUAAUGCACUAUUUGAGAUUUAAGAUGCGUAUUACAUCUGUUACAAAUUCGAAAUAUAGUUUGGGGCACACUUGUUUGCCUAGUUUGCGCUGUAAGCAAGCAAUUGAAAAAGCUCUUAACAUUAUAAUUUAGAGCAAACAGCCACGUUGCUUACACAUGAAAGGUGCAUGCUAAGCACUUGAAGUUAAAAAUUGAAAGGCCUGAUUUCUGACCAAAGUUCAGUUCUAAUUUGCAGUAUCCAAGCUCAUCCAGUUCUUAACAAAUAGACAAAAACACCAGGGUUGAUGUAUGACUAGAUAAAGACACAAAGCUGAUGGUUAAAGGAGGAGGGGAGAGAUCCACUCAAAGCAGCAGCAGGUCAGACAAAUUUCUUGUCUAUUCUGAACUUCUCAGGACAGUUUACAGAGGCUCAGGAUCUGCCUCGUGUAUUAUCCAGUGCUUUACUGGGUAAUGUAAUUGUCACUGGCAUUUGGUAAUCCUGUAGCCAAUUUGUCCUUGAAUAAACCUAAGUUUUUCCAAAUAGAAAACA